rnacentral:rRNA from 1 species
AUGCCAAGGCUACAAAACGAAAGGCUUGACAACCCAUUCUCUGAACAGGAGGUUUGGGCUACUAUCCAGGCCUCCCCAGCAGAAAAAGCGCCAAGACCCAAUGCUUUUUCGGGCAUCUUCUACAGAUCAUGUUGGGGCACGAUCAAGGAUGAUGUCAUGACGGUUUUUGACAAGUUCUACAGGUUGGCAGAUGGCAAUUUUGCUGAACUCAAGACGGCCAUGAUCACUCUCAUCCCGAAGAAAGACGGGGCCAUGAGAAUAACCGACUUUAGGCCCAUCAGCCUCAUCCACUCUAUAGCCAAGCUGAUCACUAAGGUGCUAUCCAUGAGACGUUUUUUUAGAAAAGGAGGAAGACCCCCGGCUUCUGCAUCUGGGCGAUGCAUGCAACCACUUUAUUAA